rnacentral:rRNA from 1 species
UACGUAGGGAGCAAGCGUUGUCCGGAAUCAUUGGGCGUAAAGCGCGCGUAGGUGGCCCUGUAAGUCCGUUGUGAAAGUCGGGGGCUCAACCCUCGAAUGCCGGUGGAUACUGUCGGGCUAGAGUGCGGAAGAGGCGAGUGGAAUUCUUGGUGUAGCGGUGAAAUGCGUAGAUAUCAAGAGGAACACCUGAGGCGAAGGCGGGUUGCUAGGCUGACACUGACGCUGAAGCGCGAAAGCCAGGGGAGCAAACGGG